CACGAACGCUGGCGGCGUGCCUAAUACAUGCAAGUCGAGCGCAGGAAACUGACGGAACUCUUCGGAGGGAAGGCAGUGGAAUGAGCGGCGGACGGGUGAGUAACACGUAAGGAACCUGCCUCAAGGAUUGGGAUAACUCCGAGAAAUCGGAGCUAAUACCGGAUAGUUCAACGGACCGCAUGGUCCGCUGAUGAAAGGCGCUCCGGCGUCACCUUGAGAUGGCCUUGCGGUGCAUUAGCUAGUUGGUGGGGUAACGGCCCACCAAGGCGACGAUGCAUAGCCGACCUGAGAGGGUGAUCGGCCACACUGGGACUGAGACACGGCCCAGACUCCUACGGGAGGCAGCAGUAGGGAAUCUUCCACAAAGGACGAAAGUCUGAUGGAGCAACGCCGCGUGAGUGAUGAAGGUUUUCGGAUCGUAAAACUCUGUUGUAAGGGAAGAACACGUACGAGAGGGAAUGCUCGUACCUUGACGGUACCUUACGAGAAAGCCACGGCUAACUACGUGCCAGCAGCCGCCGUAAGAC
rnacentral:rRNA from 1 species